rnacentral:lncRNA from 7 species
CAGAGAUUUAAGGUGAUGAUUAAUGCUCGGGGCCUCGGGCAUGGCUUCCUCAACCUGUUAUUAUCAGUUUUCACUCACUGGAAGCUGGACGACAAAGUCAUAUACUUGAAGAUGUCUUUGAGGAAGAGGGACCUAAACCUGAAGAGCACGGGAAGGCCACCAGGUGCAGUUAAUUGUCUGUCACCA